CCUACGGGGGGCAGCAGUAGGGAAUCUUCCACAAUGGGCGAAAGCCUGAUGGAGCAACGCCGCGUGGGUGAAGAAGGUCUUCGGAUCGUAAAACCCUGUUGUUAGAGAAGAAAGUGCGUGAGAGUAACUGUUCACGUUUCGACGGUAUCUAACCAGAACGCCACGGCUAACUACGUGCCAGCAGCCGCGGUAAUACGUAGGUGGCAAGCGUUAUCCGGAUUUAUUGGGCGUAAAGGGAACGCAGGCGGUCUGUUAAGUCUGAUGUGAAAGCCUUCGGCUUAACCGGAGUAGUGCAUUGGAAACUGGGAGACUGGAGUGCAGAAGAGGAGAGUGGAACUCCAUGUGUAGCGGUGAAAUGCGUAGAUAUAUGGAAGAACACCAGUGGCGAAAGCGGCUCUCUGGUCUGUAACUGACGCUGAGGUUCGAAAGCGUGGGUAGCAAACAGGAUUAGAUACCCUUGUAGUC
rnacentral:rRNA from 1 species